GACGAACGCUGGCGGCGUGCCUAAUACAUGCCAGUAGAACGCUGAAGGAGGAGCUUGCUUCUCUGGAUGAGUUGCGAACGGGUGAGUAACGCGUAGGUAACCUGCCUGGUAGCGGGGGAUAACUAUUGGAAACGAUAGCUAAUACCGCAUAAUAGUAGAUGUCGCAUGACAUUUGCUUAAAAGGUGCAAUUGCAUCACUACCAGAUGGACCUGCGUUGUAUUAGCUAGUUGGUGAGGUAACGGCUCACCAAGGCAACGAUACAUAGCCGACCUGAGAGGGUGAUCGGCCACACUGGGACUGAGACACGGCCCAGACUCCUACGGGAGGCAGCAGUAGGGAAUCUUCGGCAAUGGACGGAAGUCUGACCGAGCAACGCCGCGUGAGUGAAGAAGGUUUUCGGAUCGUAAAGCUCUGUUGUAAGAGAAGAACGAGUGUGAGAGUGGAAAGUUCACACUGUGACGGUAUCUUACCAGAAAGGGACGGCUAACUACGUG
rnacentral:rRNA from 1 species